rnacentral:rRNA from 1 species
AGAGUUUGAUCCUGGCUCAGAACGAACGCUGGCGGCAGGCUUAACACAUGCAAGUUGAACGGGAACAUACGAUAGCUUGCUAUAGUAUGUGAGAGUGGCGCACGGGUGAGUAAUACAUGGGAACAUACCUUGAAGUGGGGGAUAACUUCUGGAAACGGAUGCUAAUACCGCAUAUACCCUGAGGGGGAAAGAUUUAUCGCUUUAAGAUUGGCCCAUGGCAGAUUAGGUAGUUGGUGGGGUAAAGGCCUACCAAGCCGACGAUCUGUAGCUGGUCUGAGAGGACGAUCAGCCACAUUGGGACUGAGACACGGCCCAGACUCCUACGGGAGGCAGCAGUGAGGAAUAUUGGGCAAUGGGGGCAACCCUGACCCAGCCAUGCCGCGUGAGUGAAGAAGGUUUUCGAAUUGUAAAGCUCUUUCGGAUGUGACGAUGAUGACGGUAGCAUCUAAAGAAGCCCCGGCAAACUUCGUGCCAGCAGCCGCGGUAAUACGAAGGGGGCGAGCGUUGUUCGGAAUUACUGGGCGUAAAGGGUGUGUAGGUGGACGUGUAAGAUAGCGGUGAAAUGCCGGAGCUCAACUUCGGAAUUGCCAUUAUAACUAUGCGUCUAGAAUUAUAGAGAGGAUAGCGGAAUACCCAGUGUAGAGGUGAAAUUCGUAGAUAUUGGGUAGAACACCAGUGGCGAAGGCGGCUAUCUGGCUAUAUAUUGACACUGAGGCACGAAAGCAUGGGGAUCAAACAGGAUUAGAUACCCUGGUAGUCCAUGCCGUAAACGAUGAAUGCUGGUUGUCGGACGAAUGUUCGGUGACGAAGUUAACGCGAUAAGCAUUCCGCCUGGGGAGUACGGCCGCAAGGUUAAAACUCAAAGGAAUUGACGGGGACCCGCACAAGCGGUGGAGCAUGUGGUUUAAUUCGAAGCAACGCGAAGAACCUUACCAAGUCUUGACAUCCCGAUGACAGAACAUGUAAUGUAUUUUCUCUUCGGAGCAUCGGUGACAGGUGGUGCAUGGUUGUCGUCAGCUCGUGUCGUGAGAUGUUGGGUUAAGUCC